rnacentral:rRNA from 1 species
GACGAACGCUGGCGGCGUGCCUAAUACAUGCAAGUAGAACGCAGUUGCGAACGGGUGAGUAACGCGUAGGUAACUGCCUCAUAGCGGGGGACAACUAUUGGAAACGAUAGCUAAUACCGCAUCCUGUGAGAUGGACCUGCGUUUUAUUAGCGAGUUGGUGAGGUAAAUGCUCACCAAGGCGACGAUACAUACCCGACCUGAGAGGGUUAUCGGCCACACUGGGAAUGGGGCACGGGCCAGGAUCCUGCUGGAGGGAACAGUAGGGAAUCUUCGGCAAUGGACGGAAGUCUGACCGAGCAACGCCGCGUGAGUGAAGAAGGUUUUCGGAUCGUAAAGCUCUGUUGUUAGAGAAGCGGUACCUAACCAGAAAGGGACGGCUAACUACGUGCCAGCAGCCGCGGUAAUAC